rnacentral:rRNA from 1 species
AUGGACUGCUGGUCAAUGUAUCUUAUGGAUAAGGACACAAAGGUGAUGAUGGUGCUUGACCCAACCGAGACAGAUGAGAUGGACGAGAUGCAGAUGAAACAUGAGGACCACGCUAAGAAGUUCCAGCUUAGGUUCUGCUCUCUGAUGAACAACUACUUCGGCAAUGGGAUUGUUGAUCCCAAUGGAUGGAAAAUUGUACAUCCGCUGGUGGUGCAACAUGAGCCGUGCAGCAGGGAGGACAGUGGAAUUUACAUAACACACUACUUCACCAACUUCACUGGGUUGUACCUCCGAUCUACGCUGAACCAGGAACAUAUUGACCAGAAGCGCAAGAAGCUGGCAUACGAAAUAGUGAGCAUGAAAGGUAACAAAGGGGACAUACCAGAUUUCCUCUUUGACGUGAUCAUCGAUUAA